UACGGGGGGGACAAGCGUUGUUCGGAAUUACUGGGCGUAAAGCGUGCGUAGGCGGUUCGUUAAGUUCGUUGUGAAAGCCCCGGGCUCAACCUGGGAAUGGCAAUGGAAACUGGCGGGCUGGAGUAUGGCAGAGGGGGGUGGAAUUCCGCGUAUAGCAGUGAAAUGCGUAGAGAUGCGGAGGAACACCGGUGGCGAAGGCGGCAUCCUGGACCAGCAUUGACGCUGAGGAGCGAAAGCCAGGGGAGCAAACGGG
rnacentral:rRNA from 1 species